GCUUAACACAUGCAAGUCGAGGGGCAGCGGGGAGGAAGCUUGCUUUCUCCGCCGGCGACCGGCGCACGGGUGAGUAACACGUAUGCAACCUGCCCCUGUCAGGGGGACAACCCGCCGAAAGGCGGGCUAAACCCGCGUACAUGCCACCGGGGCAUCCCGGAGGCAGGAAAGGCUUCGGCCGGACAGGGAUGGGCAUGCGGCGCAUUAGGCAGUAGGCGGGGUAACGGCCCACCUAACCGACGAUGCGUAGGGGUUCUGAGAGGAAGGUCCCCCACACUGGUACUGAGACACGGACCAGACUCCUACGGGAGGCAGCAGUGAGGAAUAUUGGUCAAUGGUCGGGAGACUGAACCAGCCAAGCCGCGUGAGGGAUGAAGGUACAGAGUAUCGUAAACCUCUUUUGUCAGGGAACAAAGGCGGGGACGUGUCCCCGGAUGAGUGUACCUGAAGAAAAAGCAUCGGCUAACUCCGUGCCAGCAGCCGCGGUAAUACGGAGGAUGCGAGCGUUAUCCGGAUUUAUUGGGUUUAAAGGGUGCGCAGGCGGUCUGUUAAGUCAGCGGUCAAAGCCCGGGGCUCAACCCCGGCCCGCCGUUGAAACUGGCAGUCUCGAGUUGGAGAGAAGUAUGCGGAAUGCGCGGUGUAGCGGUGAAAUGCAUAGAUAUCGCGCAGAACUCCGAUUGCGAAGGCAGCAUGCCGGCUCCACACUGACGCUGAGGCACGAAAGCGUGGGUAUCGAACAGGAUUAGAUACCCUGGUAGUCCACGCAGUAAACGAUGAAUGCUGGCUGUCCGGGGGGACUGACCCCUGGGUGGCGAAGCGAAAGCGAUAAGCAUUCCACCUGGGGAGUACGCCGGCAACGGUGAAACUCAAAGGAAUUGACGGGGGCCCGCACAAGCGGAGGAACAUGUGGUUUAAUUCGAUGAUACGCGAGGAACCUUACCCGGGCUCAAACGGGGAGUGACUCAGGCAGAGACGCCUGUUUCCCACGGGACACUCCCCGAGGUGCUGCAUGGUUGUCGUCAGCUCGUGCCGUGAGGUGUCGGCUUAAGUGCCAUAACGAGCGCAACCCCCGCGUGCAGUUGCUAACAGAUAACGCUGAGGACUCUGCACGGACUGCCGGCGCAAGCCGCGAGGAAGGCGGGGAUGACGUCAAAUCAGCACGGCCCUUACGUCCGGGGCGACACACGUGUUACAAUGGGUGGUACAGCGGGAAGCCAGGCGGCGACGCCGAGCGGAACCCGAAAUCCACUCUCAGUUCGGAUCGGAGUCUGCAACCCGACUCCGUGAAGCUGGAUUCGCUAGUAAUCGCGCAUCAGCCAUGGCGCGGUGAAUACGUUCCCGGGCCUUGUACACACCGCCCGUCAAGCCAUGGGAGCCGAGGGCGCUUGAAGUG
rnacentral:rRNA from 1 species